CCUAACCCUAGAAUUUUAAAUAAAGGAAGAACCCCAAACAGUAUUUCUGCAGCGUGGUCUCUUAAUGGAGGAAGAUGAAGGUGUCCCAAAAUGCAGCAACCAGCUUGAUGGGAAUUGUUUUUUAGAAUGGUGGGAAUUGAAAAGAGAAUAUUCUGUUUUUUAAUGAAAGAAUCAUUGACGACGAGGAGUUGAAGAUCUGAAAUGCAUCACAGCUGGGGUCUAAUUUUUUAAUAUUUUUCUUAAAAUGUCAAAUGAAAGGCAUUGAAAUGACAGAUAGGGGUCAUCAAAAAUUCGUAUGACAGGUAGGGGUGACCGUCAAAUUCCAGACCUGACUUCAACUAUUUUGAAGAUUAAUCCUUUGAAGAAUCGUUAAUUAUCGUGAACACAAAAGGCAAGCCUUAACAAAAGGAAAUAGAAUCUUGCAUGUUCAGUCCUUACAUCAAAUUAUAGACCAGUGAAUCUCUUGAAUUUCAGUACGUAGAAUGUCUUAUGAAUGAAGGAAAAGUUUUAAAUCUCAUUUAAAAUAUAUCUGACAACUGCCUCAUCUGGUUUUAUCAAUUUCAUGUGCUCUCUCAGCUUUUGUAUAAAGAGCAUAAAUAAAGUUCUUAGGCUUAGAAUGUUAAAUGGGAUUUCGAAAAAGAAAUGCCUAAACUAGCUCAGCUUAAUCAAAACCCAUUAAAUUUUAAAGCUUCACUUAGCUUACUAGUAUGUUGAGUUAACAGGGUCUACAAUUUAGUUGAAUUCUUUUCUCCCUGCCUCGAUAUAAUUUUCUGUUGUUUUACCCUUUCCUUGCUUGUUUAAAAUAUAAAUGAGUUAUAUUUGUAACAGUUUCUUUCUUUUUUAAUUUUCCUAAAAAUUACAGGUCUGCGCUCAAGACUAGACCAUUAUCUCAAAGUCUUGUCUUGAAUAUUUCUCUUAGCUUGAAUAUUUCUUCGAAUCUCUAAUAUUUAUAGACAGUGCAAAAGUAUCGGUUUAAUUUGAAUAUAUACUAUGCAGAUAUGAGGACAGAGAGCAAAUCAACUCGAUGGAACUAGCUAUUUGUCCAAUUUCACUUCAAUUCUUAAUGCACAAAAACCCAAUCCAACUAUUACUAUUGUAUUUCUAUGUGUGGUGAGUACGUAGAAGAGGUGUGGAAGGUGGUUUACUAAAAUUUUAGUUUAUUUUAAGAAUUUGUUAUGUAGAGAUCAAUUAUCAAGAUGGUUCAAGAAAAAUCUUGAUCUAUUUUAAGAAUUUCUUAUGUAGAGAUCAAUUAUCAGUCUCUAAUAUCUAGUCAUUGAAGGGAAAGAUAGCUUUAUAUGUUAGAAAUUGAAAUUGUAAUGUAUAUGUUUAGUGUUCUAUAGUGGUUUCAAAAAGUAUUUGCAAUGUAUAUGAAAUCAAAUUGCACCAACCCAUUAAGUUA